rnacentral:rRNA from 1 species
GUCCACGCCGUAAACGAUGAAACUAGAUGUCUGGUGAUUUAAUCAUUGGGUAUCGCAGCUAACGCAUUAAGUUUUCCGCCUGGGGAGUACGGUCGCAAGACUAAAACUCAAAGGAAUUGACGGGGGCCCGCACAAGCGGUGGAGCAUGUGGUUUAAUUCGAUGCAACGCGAAAACCUUACCUACCCUUGACAUAGUAAGAAUCCUGCAGAGAUGCGGGAGUGCCUUCGGGAGCUUAUAUACAGGUGCUGCAUGGCUGUCGU